CGGACUUUGAGGGGCACUUCAGUUUUCCCGCCGCCGUCAAGCCAGAAGGACCUAUCGUUUCGGGGAUUGUCUAACGUCAGGACAUUCACCAGGUCGGGGUUUUAAAGUGAGCGUGAUCUAGCUCUGGAUAGAUGACCUUGCAGUUAAGAUUCAUGGAAUCACCGUUGGUUCACUCAUUUGUCAAUUUGUUCUGUCCCUUCUCUUACAAUGUUUAAUUCCUGGUACAGACAUGAAUCUGGUACAAGUUAAGCAAUUCAGCAUCAUGAUUGGGGUGCCAGGUCUGUGUGGUCCAGACCUGGUAAACCAAUGGACCACCAUGUGUCGGACUGUUAUUGCUUGUAAAUCUUGUAUUGGGUGAUUGUUUGUGUCCAGGGUUAAAUACUUGUGAAAGAAUGUACAGAUCAAAUUGAGACAUGUCCGAGCCAUCCGUGAUGUCAUGCAUCUUCCUUGCUUGGAAGUUUAUUUGGAGUCGAGGUUGCGUAAACUUGAAGAAUCCCGGCUAUAGGACAGGACUGUCAGGCCCCACCAAACCUGAGGACCACCACCCGGACCGACCGACCGACGGACCCAGGAC